rnacentral:rRNA from 1 species
AACGUAGGAGGCAAACGUUAUCCGGAGUUACUGGGCGUAAAGCGCGCGCAGGCGGGUCGUUAAGUCUGCCAUGAAAGCUCCCGGCUAAACCGGGAGAGGCUGGUGGAGACUGGCGGUCUGGAGUAGAAGAGAGGGAUGUAGAAUUCCGCAUGUAGUGGUGAAAUGCGUAGAGAUGCGGAGGAAUACCAGAGGCGAAGGCGACAUCCUGGCUUCAAACUGACGCUGAGGCGCGAAAGCAUGGGUAGCGAAC